rnacentral:lncRNA from 1 species
CCCGGUGACUCGUGUAUAGUUGCUGUAAUAUAGAGAAAUAAGGAAGAAGUGUUUCCUUCUCCCCACUCUGUGUGACUGAGCUGAGUGAGAGUGGGUGCUAUAGAAGCAGACAGCCAGGCCUGAGAGAGCGAUCUGCCCGCCGCUCCACCCCAUCCGAGCCGCGCCACCCAGAUGUGGGCAAACUGGACUUGAAACUCCAAGAUGUAGAAAUAUCAAGAUGUAGCAUGAAUCUAAAUGUAGCUAUUAUUAUUAUUAUUAUUAUUAUUAUUAUUAUUAUUAUCAUUAUUAUUAUAUUAUUAUUAUCAAUCCACACAGGGGUAUUGCAUUGAAUAUCAGAAAAAAUGCAUCUAUAAGUGUAAUCUGGGAAAUAGAUAUAAUGCAUUGUGCUCUUCACAUUUGUGCAGCCUUGGUUUUGUGGACCGAUAGGCAAUAUAUCCAAAAUUUAUUCAACAAACAUUCAUUGGAGUCUUGGGCACUGGUAAUAGGAGGACAGAAGACAGGCCUACAUAGCUUAGAUGGGCCUCGGUACCAAAGACUAAUGAAUGGUAUUAAAAGUGAUAAAGGUAAUGUUAAAACUUAUAUAUAAAUCACAUGACAUACUCCAAAUAUGAUGUAUUAAAUUGAGGACCAGACCCUGACAGUCUCUUGUUUGGGUCUGAGGGAAAUUCUGUGAGUGAGAACAUCAAUGGCAUGCUCAGGAGAUGGUGGUCUGGUGAAUGGAAAUGUUAAGAGAUCCAAAGUGAGAUUGAAAUGUUACUGGAAAUCUUCAUGUGGAUAGUACCACAGAAUAAUUAUGUAUUCAUAUUUCCUUUGAUGUCUCACUUGCAGAAAACUUCCUUUUCAUUUAUUUAAAGGCUUACAAUGAAUUUAAGCAAAUAUUGUAAAAUCAUAUAUGCCAUUAUAGAGUCAACAUUAUUACCCCUUAUAGCUCUAAGUUGCUGGUGUAAAAUUUCCUUGGAUUAUAGGAAAUAUUCUUAAAGAUAUACACAGUCACAAGUUUCCAGGAAGAAUACCUAGUAUGAGUAAAUAAACCUUUACAUCAAUACACAACAUUGUACUCCAUUCCUGUAGAAGUUAUAUGGAAGAGAGAUGAUAUGUGAAAGACAGGUUAAGUUAUACACACUUUGGCAGAUCAUGAGAGAAUGUGGAGUGAGAAUAAAAGUUAUUGGCAAGGCAGUGCUUGCUCCUUUUAAUAGAGCAUAGGAGCAAAUGACUUCUAGAGAGGACUGCCUAUGAUUCAAUACCUUAUAAAUUCUAAGUAUAGUAUUUUUCUCUAACUGUUCUUUGUAUGCCAAAACAUAAAAGGAUCAAACACCUUCUGUGGCCUUAAGGGGAAGCAUCUCUCCCAACAGGUAACAGGCUAUACUAUCAUCUCAGUGUUCUAGGAAAUGACUCCUUCUUUCAUAAGAAUCAUGCAGAAAAAAACAUUUGAAUUCAUUCAGAAAAGAUGAUAAGUAUUUUGGGAUUAUAGCAUUCCCAGCACAAAAUACCUAAUAUGUAUAAGAUGCACAGAAGCAGCAACACAGGCUGCUUCUGUGGUAGGAGGAAUGGAGGUAGGAAAAGAUUGCCACACAGUACACAGGAAUUGACUCAGAACUCUCCACCUUUAACACACAGCAAAGACAUAUGCUAAUACACAGCACUGAUAUCUUGUCAUUAGAAAAUACCUAUUGCUGAGAAAGACAGUAUUACCUGGAGCAGACAGUAUGUUAAUGUAUAGCAGUGUCAAUACUUACUGUUCUUCUCAAACUAUCACUCAUUCACAGAGAUGUGUACUUGUGUACUGACUCGCUCUCUCUCUCUCUCUCUCUCUCUCUCUCUCUCUCUCUCUCUCUCUCUCUCUCUCUCUCUCUCUCUCUC